rnacentral:rRNA from 1 species
AUUGAACGCUGGCGGCAUGCCUAACACAUGCAAGUCGAACGGGGGCAGCAAUGCCCUAGUGGCGGACGGGUGAGGAAUACGUAGGAACCGGCCCACGAGUGGGGGACAACCUGGGGAAACCCAGGCUAAUACCGCAUACGAUCUAUGGAUGAAAGCGGGGGACUCGUAAGAGCCUCGCGCGAUUGGAGCGGCCGAUAUCAGAUUAGGUAGUUGGUGGGGUAAAGGCUCACCAAGCCAACGAUCUGUAGCUGGUCUGAGAGGACGACCAGCCACACUGGAACUGAGACACGGUCCAGACUCCUACGGGAGGCAGCAGUGGGAAUUUGGACAAUGGACGCAAGUCUGAUCCAGCCAUUCCGCGUGCAGGAUG